rnacentral:rRNA from 1 species
AUUGAACGCUGGCGGCAUGCCUUACACAUGCAAGUCGAACGGCAGCACGGGUGCUUGCACCUGGUGGCGAGUGGCGAACGGGUGAGUAAUACAUCGGAACGUACCUUAUCGUGGGGGAUAACGCAGCGAAAGCUGUGCUAAUACCGCAUACGCCCUGAGGGGGAAAGCGGGGGAUCGCAAGACCUCGCGCGAUUAGAGCGGCCGAUGCCUGAUUAGCUAGUUGGUGGUAAAAGCCCACCAAGGCGACGAUCAGUAGCUGGUCUGAGAGGACGAUCAGCCACACUGGGACUGAGACACGGCCCAGACUCCUACGGGAGGCAGCAGUGGGGAAUUUUGGACAAUGGGGGCAACCCUGAUCCAGCAAUGCCGCGUGAGUGAAGAAGGCCUUCGGGUUGUAAAGCUCUUUUGUCAGGGAAGAAACACCGGCUCCAACACAGUCCGGGAAUGACGGUACCUGAAGAAUAAGCACCGGCUAACUACGUGCCAGCCGCCGCCGUAA